CUGGUCGACUUGCGAAUGACCAGCGAAUCUCGCGAUUCCCAAUUCCAAGCCGAUGAAUGAUCUGUUGUUUUUCUUUCUUCAAUUCCAGUCAUAUCUGCGGAGUGAAAAAUACCCGCGAAAGUGAGCGAAGCACGCGUUACAAAUACGUGGCGAAUAACAAAUCACGGCGUAAAAACAACAAAGUUAAACGGUCAUUGAAGGUGUCAUUACACCUAAUGUCUUGUUAUUAGAUUGAUUGCGAUAAUACCUCCUUGAUGCACACAUUUUCUCACCACUCAUUACCAAAUCUUUCGCGUCGGUUGGCUGUUAUUGAACCGUGGCUACAAGUUCUUAUACUCUCGUCGCUAUCAUUGACCCCGAGUCAGGUCACCGAGAAAAAUUACACAUACUUAUACGUACGACGUGACGGAUAUCGCUGACCAUUCAAGCAAAAGGUCUAGUUGAGAGGAUAGCCUUCAAUGCUGAAGAAGAUACAAGGCCAGUAACACGGGAAACAGUAGCAGGAUUGAGAAGUUUUGCGGUCUUAUGGAACAUUACAUGCGAAAGAGCAGAAAAUGAUGGGCUUCUUGGAGAAAUGUCAAUUCUUCAUCAGCCUGCGUUGACGAGCUUUCGUAUUUAGCGCCGAUUACCCAAGUAUUGAAAUAAUUUUUUAUCACCACAUCCCAUUGCGCUUUAUAAUCACGUGACACGAUGCAGGCAAUUAAAUAAUCGUGAAACUUCAGGCUUGAUCCGUAUGUGAAAAUCCUUUCUCGAUACUGACUGACAUUCAGGCGACUUGCUAACACCUGGAAUAGUCAUUAAAUCGCGCUUUGCCGUUCGACUUGACACCUUGAGCUAAUUACAUGAAAGCAAAAAGAAGUGCAGCAGGAACUGUAGGAAACUACUUAUUCAUCGUUGCAUCGACAAUGUAUGUAAUAUGUCGUGCCUAACCUUGUAGAUUUGCCCAUGAGUUUCACAACAGUUCCUUCAAACGCUUGUCUGUUAUUUACAUUCGGUUAUGCUUGAUUCUAUCUCUGUUAUUCCCCGCUCGUUUAACCGUAAAUCGUUUGCGUCAAGUCAGAGAUACGAAGGUGGUUAACAAUGGCGAAUAGUAUGCGUGAGGUGUAAGUAUGAUGAUAAUUUUAUGUAUAAAAUGACAAAUAUAUGCCAUGCUGUCAGUGCAGGAACGGCUUUUUUCACUUGGCUCUUUAUAUUUCUUUUAAUGCACGCCUUCACUACGGCCGAGACAGCAACUUUGUCUAUGACAACCUGUUCAAUGCGAGAGGAACUAAGUAACCAGGGGAUUCCCUGAAGACCGGUUUCAUCCAAGUCUUUUACAGUAAGAUGAACUCUUGAUCUUGGCUUUGCGUGAAACGCAACAUGGACCAAUGGCCGAGAAGGACGUAACCAUCGACUGACAGUCUUCCCUUCAAGAUACUUUUAUCACCUUGGAAACGACUCGAGCGGGAGUAUCGAUGCCGGAAUUGGUGGAAAUUGGUCAACCUCCCCUUGCAAGGGGUGGUUAAGAAGUAUUUUCUCAUAAUCAGCAAGUUCCCACGAGUCCUGUUCACCAGUCGAACUGGUUAAUGUGCAGAACGACAAAUUGCAAACCCAAGUGGCCAGUCAUAGCGUAAAACCCGCAGAUUUAUGACGCCACUUUCCAUCGCCCGGUUAUUCAAAACGAGACCCAUUUUGCCACAGAACCAGCUAAAUGUACCGGAGUAGAGAUCCCGGGAUUCGAACAGAAAGACGUUGACGGCGUUGUUCCCGAAGGCACUAUCGCAGCGUGACUCUGCAGUGACUCUGUUCCUAGGAAGACGGUCCCUUACACCUACCGACCGCAUAGGUGCUGAAUUACCGUAUUUGUAUGACGUAUACACGAAUGCGAUAAAUAAAUACACACUCCGUUGAGAUUCGUUCCCGGUAUUUCCAAGAUCUCUCAUUCGCACAUAGUCACAACUAAAUAUGUCACACACGUGCGUCUCCUUUAAUCAACCUUAUACCCACGUAACAUGAACAGUGGAAACUUCCUUUCGUUAGACAGACCUGCAGAAUUUUUUUCUAGAAAAUGCUAAACAAAUGAGUUAGUGUGGUUCCAACGUAUUUUGAUGCAUUGAAUACGAUA